UAUUUUUGAGGGUGGAAAACAUAUUUAAAGUCAAGGUUGAGACCAGGAACAUCACUUCCAUCCUCGCUGUAGAUUGUGUUGAGACAUCUCACUGACGAACAUGAAGCUGUUUCUCCUGAUGGUUCUUGUCACUCUGUUGACUGCAGAAUGUAUCACUGCAAGAAAGCUGGACUUAUCGAAUGGAAUACAGCUACGGAUGAAGAAAUCAGUCUCAGAUUAUCAGCCUUUGUCUGGUUCAGCAGGUGGUCUGAGAAGGCCAGGUGGAUUAAGUUCUGGUGCUGAUUGAUGAGAUGGAGAGGAACACCUGAUACGAUUCUGAUAUGCAGCAAAACAAAAUGAGCAAUAAAUCAUGUUUGUUCUA